GUUGACCUCGGAUCAGGUAGGGAUACCCAG
rnacentral:rRNA from 1 species